GAUGAACGCUAGCGGAAGGCUUAAUACAUGCAAGUCGAGCGGUAGGUGGCUUCGGCCAUUGAGAGCGGCGCACGGGUGAGUAACGCGUACAUGACCUGCCUGUCAGAAGGGGAUAGCCCUGGGAAACUGGGAUUAAUACCCUAUGGUAUUGAUAUUAUGAAUGAUAUCAAUUAAAGUUGAGGCGCUGACAGAUGGAUGUGCGUCUGAUUAGCUAGUUGGUAGGGUAACGGCCUACCAAGGCGACGAUCAGUAGGGGGCGUGAGAGCGUGGUCCCCCACACGGGUACUGAGACACGGACCCGACUCCUACGGGAGGCAGCAGUAAGGAAUAUUGGUCAAUGCCCGUAAGGGUGAACCAGCCAUUCCGCGUGGAGGAUGAAGGCCCUAUGGGUUGUAAACUGCUUUUGUACAGAACGAAAAGCUCUUUCUAAUACAGAGAGUCCAUGACGGUACUGUAAGAAUAAGCACCGGCUAACUACGUGCCAGCAGCCGCGUAAU
rnacentral:rRNA from 1 species